rnacentral:lncRNA from 1 species
GAUAUGUGUAUGUAUGUGGUGUGGUGUGUGCAUGUGUGCGGUGUAGGUGCACAUGUAGGAUGCUGUGGCCUAUGCAUGUUUGUAUGUAUGUAGUAUGUAUGUGUUAUGUGCACACAUGAAGGUGCGGUUUAUAUAUGUGUGUGUGAUUUCCAGGAUUUCUUGGUUAUUUACCAGUUUCUCUUCCCUCCUUUCUCUUCCUUUUUCUCCGUCCUUCCUCCCCUCCUUCCCUUCCUUCCCUGCCUUCCCUCCCUAUUCCUCUUCCUUCUAGGUGAUGCAAUGGACUGUCUUUGUAAAAUGUUUUCUUUCCAGCCUCAGAUGAUCAGAAAUGCUCUGCAUCUUCAGGACACCCAGCGACUAGCUCUUUCUCAAGAAGAGGGAAGUGGCUUAGCAGCUCUCAGCCAGCAAGGGGUUCUAAGCAGAGAUGGAAUUGGAGGCUCAUUGGCCCUGAUGGAUGACCACGGAGAGUCAUGAUAGCUACUGGCAGCAGCAGAGGGAUCCAGGGCCCAGCAAGUAGGGAUGGCCACCUCACCCAAGGAAGAGAGAUGGAUCUCAGUUAAACCAAACAGGAGAUAACUAUGCCUGCUGUAAUUACCACACGGGGAGAGAAGUUCAUGAGCUUGGGGGGCCGUGGGGAGAUAAAGGACACUGGAGAUGCCAGUUACUCUGCCCGACUGGGCAGGGCACUCGGCGCAGGAGGCACGAGCCCACCCCGGAAGGCGCGGGGUUUCCUAAAAGCACCUUUGCACCCUGAAUCUCAGGACACUGACGCGUUGCCUGGGGCUCCUGGCAAGGUGUGUGUGUGGGGGGGCUUGGAGGCGGUCAGCGAGGAGGACGCCGGGAGCCCACGUGGAAGGUCUUCGCUGUGGACCUUCGCUCGGAUGGGAAGUGACACAGAGCACCGGCCUGCAGGAGGGGAGGGGUUCCAGCAGCAGGGAAACAGCCAGAAACAGAAGACUUGACACUGCAUGCCCCGGGCCCCACCCAGAGCCCGGCCCCAAAUGCCAGCAGGACCUCCCCUGAGAUCAAGAAGGACCUCUUGUAAACCCACAACUUCUCUAAUAAAGA